rnacentral:tRNA from 1 species
UGCCCUUGUAGUAUAGUCCGGUCUAGAAUUCGACCCUGUCACGGUUGAGACGCGUGUUCAAAUCCCGCCGAGGGCGCCUU